rnacentral:lncRNA from 1 species
GAUGACACACUUGGAAAUCCGUGUCUUUGAGCAUCAUAAAGAAGUUGUGCAUCUGCUAAAAUCGGUUUCCAAUUGAACAUACUUCUUUCUGAAAUAAAUAUUAUAGUUUGAUUACAUUUUAGGGUGUCUGAGGAGUAAACAGAAACAUAUUUUGACUUGUUGAAAAAAAGUUUAGGGCUAGAUUUUCGGAUUCCUUUCUCUGCAAGUCGAACGAGUGGAUUACUCAAAUCGAUGGCACCAACGAAACAGACUUUUUGGGAUAUAAAGAAGGAUUUUAUCUAACAAAACGACACUACAUGUUGUAGCUGGGACCCUUUGGAUGACAAAUCAGAGGAAGAUUUUCAAAAACUUCCAUUACACAUCAGAACUGCACCAACUGAAAAAAUGAAUACUUCAACCUCAUCUGCAAACUCUUCCCAGCCUACAUAUCAAUUUGCUGCUUUCUUUUCCCAAGAUCAAUCAAUCAGCACUGCUUCCUAUGCAAUCAACUUCAUCCUGGGCCUCCCCACUAAUAUCUACAUCCUGUGGCUGAUAGCGACUGAAGUGGAAGGGAGGAUGGCCUCAGAGUUCUUCACUCUCAACCUGGCCUUGUCUGAGGUCCUCUUUUGCCUGUCAGCUAUCCUAUAUUUUAUCUGGCUACUUCACCCCACCAUCAUUAUUUUGUGCAUUUUGGUAUUUUCUAAUGACAGGCCGUCCGCUGUUCCAGUGCUGUAUCUGUGUAGAGCGCUACCUGGCAGUGGUCCACCCUGUAGUCUACCUGAAGUACAAACCCCUGAGAUACAGGGUGGGGUGUUGUCUGGCUGAUGGUGCUUGUGUCCUGUCUUUUCUUUAUGCUUGGGAAUAAAAUAACUUUUUUAUUUUAUGCUUACUUGGGUGAGUUUCUGAUGUUGUUUUUAUUGAAGCUAUUCUGCUGCCUCUCAGUUCUCAGGGCUCUGAAACGUCCCGGGCCGGGGGAAGGGGAGAGGGAG